CCUACGGGAGGCAGCAGUGAGGAAUAUUGGUCAAUGGACGAGAGUCUGAACCAGCCAAGUAGCGUGAAGGAUGACUGCCCUAUGGGUUGUAAACUUCUUUUAUAUGGGAAUAAAAUGUUCCACGUGUGGGAUUUUGUAUGUACCAUAUGAAUAAGGAUCGGCUAACUCCGUGCCAGCAGCCGCGGUAAUACGGAGGAUCCGAGCGUUAUCCGGAUUUAUUGGGUUUAAAGGGAGCGUAGAUGGAUUGUUAAGUCAGUUGUGAAAGUUUGCGGCUCAACCGUAAAAUUGCAGUUGAAACUGGCAGUCUUGAGUACAGUAGAGGUGGGCGGAAUUCGUGGUGUAGCGGUGAAAUGCUUAGAUAUCACGAAGAACUCCGAUUGCGAAGGCAGUUCACUGGACUGCAACUGACACUGAGGCUCGAAAGUGUGGGUAUCAAACAGGAGUAGAUACCCGGGUAGUC
rnacentral:rRNA from 1 species